rnacentral:rRNA from 1 species
CGCCUGUUUAUCAAAAACAUUGCCUCUAGCAUCCCCAUUAAAGGUAAUUCCUGCCCAGUGAAAUUUCAACGGCCGCGGUACCCUAACCGUGCAAAGGUAGCAUAAUCAUUUGCCUCCUAAUUAGAGGCUAGUAUGAACGGAUAAACGAGAUACUUACUGUCUCCUAAUUACCCACAUAAAUUAUACUUCAGGUGAAGAUACCUGAAUCACACUAAAAGACAAGAAGACCCUAUAGAGUUUUAGCUUAAAUAAGUCACCUACUUUUCAAAGCUUUAGUUGGGGCGACUAAGGAACUAAUUUAUCUUCCUUUAUUAUAAAGAAAUUAAUUCAAAAAUAGACCCUAUUUCAUGGAUCAUCAAAAUUAACUACCUUAGGGAUAACAGGCUUAUCUUCCUAGAGAGCCCUAAUCGAUAGGAAGGUUUGGCACCUCGAUGUUGGCUUAGAGUACCCUAACAGAGCAGAACCUGUAAACGGUCAGUUUGUUCAACUGAUAAAACUCUACGUGAUCUGAGUUCAGACCGG